rnacentral:lncRNA from 1 species
AUGAAAGCUGUUAAUGAUGCUGUAGAGGGAAUGUCCAACAUGUUCUAUGAGGCUCAAGAAUGUGCAUUUGCUCCUCAUUUGAGUCUGGACCACAUGAAUGCUGUCAAAGAUGUAAAAGACUUAUUUAUGGACUUCCUCUCUGAUGAUGACGGAAACUUUUACCUGAGCUACGUUGACCCGGUGAUUAUUGGCAGGGGUGUGUUCAAUGUCACCAAUAACUCUAUAUGUGGAGUCGUGGGUUACAUACAAGGCACACUCUGUGUUCUAUUGGAUGCCAUAUUGGAUAUCUUACAGGCCCUUAUCCAUGCACUGAACAUCAAUGCAGAAGACAUAGUGCAUGUUAUCAAGGACUGUACAAGUUCUACUGGAACCUACAUUUGGGACCUGCUGCCAGGUAUCCCUCAAGAAGUGAACAUCGAUCCCAUACUGGUUCUCAGAAGAAUGUUUGGGAUUGUCAUUGAGCAGAAGAACAUGCUUGUGGACUAUGUCUCCAACUUGCUAAUAGGCGAUCAAGGGGUCAUUCCUGAGAUGAACUUUGACCCUAUGAAAGUGGUCACAGAUGCAGUGCUUGAGAUUGCAGAUGGGAAAAACAUGUUCAUGGAUUAUCUGUCCAACAUGCUUAUGGAUGAUAAAGAUGAACCUAGUACUAUACCAGCAUCUGUGAUGCAUGUGAUAAGGAAGAAAGGACAGUUUUUGCCACCCCUGGAAAAAGAAAACCAGUUUACAACCAGAGAAUGA